rnacentral:rRNA from 1 species
GACGAACGCUGGCGGCGUGCUUAACACAUGCAAGACGUACGGUAAGGCCCUUUCGGGGGUACACGAGUGGCGAACGGGUGAGUAACACGUGAGUAACCUGCCCACAACUUUGGGAUAACGCUAGGAAACUGGUGCUAAUACUGGAUAUGUGCUCCUGCUGCAUGGUGGGGGUUGGAAAGCUCCGGCGGUUGUGGAUGGACUCGCGGCCUAUCAGCUUGUUGGUGGGGUAGUGGCCUACCAAGGCGGCGACGGGUAGCCGGCCUGAGAGGGUGACCGGCCACAUUGGGACUGAGAGACGGCCCAGACUCCUACGGGAGGCAGCAGUGGGGAAUAUUGCACAAUGGGCGCAAGCCGGAUGCAGCAACGCCGCGUGCGGGAUGACGGCCUUCGGGUUGUAAACCGCUUUCAGCAGGGACGAAGCUUUUUGUGACGGUACCUGCAGAAGAAGCACCGGCUAACUACGUG